CACGAUUCCCCCAAUUGGAACACAUCGAUACCUUAAAAAAGUACUUUUCCGGUCCUAAAUUGCCGUUCCAUUUAGUGGACUAUGCUUCCUGAUGAGUCGAGACAAAUCCUGGGACAUGCUCCCCUAAAAAAAGUUUUAAAUCUAGAGCGACGAACCUGACACCUUCUCCCACUUUGAUAUUUCUUGGCGGAUCUAUACACUGAUCUCAUAGUGGUCUAUAUAUAGCACAAGCACAUAGACUCUCCCCCCCCCCCCCCCCCCACCUGUUCCGUCGCCCGCUGUUCAAAAGGUUUACUGUUAUAUUUUGUAGUGAGUGAAGCACCCAAGGUUGAAGUGGUAAAGAAAUAUCACAGUCAUGUUGAACUGGAAGAAUAUAAAACAGAUGAACAGAAAAAGGAAGAGGUAGAUUUUUGUAUACUAGGGACCCUAACCCCAAUAUGACAAUGUACCAUGUGGGGAUGCAUGUUGCUGACGCAAUGAUACGAACCACGUGCCUUUCACCAGUGCG